AAAAUGGCCGACUCGCAAGUGUUCUAUAAUAGAGCUGUACACUUCAAAGACAAAUCCUUCUAAUGCUGGUCGCCAAAACCAACCAGGAAAUCGAAAAGAACAUUUCGCGAAAAGGUAUUUAACGAAAAUGUACUUUAAUGAUGCUAUUGGUCGGUGAAAUCAUUUCAAAACUGAAGCUGGAAUCAAAAGUGACGAGCGUUUGCAAAUACUCUGCUGAUCGAGCCUGAUACGAAACAUCAAGACGGAUUUAAUUGUGGUAAGUACAUAACACAUAUCCCUGGAUAUUUCAGUUAUGUUAAUGCUGUUAUAUUUCCUCAUUACAAAACUUUAUUGUGCACUUAUAGCGCUGUGGAAACCCAGACGGAUCAGUAGCCAGAUGAAACAAUACAAUGCAGACAUGAGCCAUUGCCAGUAUAAUGAGUAUAUGUUCAGCAAGGGCCGGAAACAGCAAUGGAGCCACAUAAAGAUUCUUAAAGAUUCUCCUAAACACUACAAAUACAUCCUACAACUUAUAAUGAAGAUAUGUAUAACAUUUUAUGCUUUCCUGAAACCUAGUGAGAAAAAAGUGACAUUUAGCUUUCAUUAUGAAAUUCCAUAUUCUUUAUAUCACCUUUUCAAACAUAAAUAUUUUGAUCAUUCUGUAGGCAUGUUAAGAGCACAGUAGCACCUGCUGAUUGAUCUGUUUUAAGAGCACUUAAAUGGCUUUUUGGAAAGCCAAAUUUUGAUUUGCAUGAACAUUACCGGUAACAAAAUCAAAAUGUGGCUUGAAAAAAGCCAUUUAAGUGUUUUUAAAACACAUUGGUCAGCAGGCACUAAUGUGCAUUUAAACAGGAAUAAAACUAAUUAUAAGUCUUCUUUACUUCUUUAGGUAUGGGGAUUGGUGUUACAAGUGAUGACCGAAGGCAAAUUGCUCCUAACAUAACCCCUGUCCCUCCUCCUUCAGUCAAAGAACUUGUUGAAACCCAUCAGUCUAGAUUCAACUGAUCACUGUAGACAAGUGUCUGGCACUUAAAACAAAGUGCUCUGGUUAGGUGGAGCUUGUAAUCCCUGAAAGGCAGUCCACCUAGGAGAAGGAACUCUGAUUACAAACUCCCGGACCCAAAUAGUGAGUCAGGCUGUCCAUAUUGGAUUCAUUGAUCUUCGGUGCACAGCAAUACACUUUUCAGGACUGAAGUAAGGAGCAAGGAGUAAUUUUAAAGAAUAAAAAAAUCAAUGUCAAUACCAAAUGUUGUGCUUGAACAUCCAAUGCAUUUGAUAACUUGUCUUUUAUAAAAUGAAAUAUUACUGUUCAUAAAAGAUUUAACCCAUUGACAUGAUAAAGUCUUUCAUUUGUCAGCAAAAUUUGCUGUGGUUAGUAGACAGAGAAAGCUUAAAAUAAGUUUGAAGCAAUUUUGAACUGCAAUUGUCUACUUUUGGUGUAUGUGUUAGAGUGAAUAACCAAGCCACGCAAAGUAAUGUUUCCUGUAAUUUUGCUAAAACACAUAUGCCAAAAGGAGAAAAUCAAAGUUUAAAAUCGCUUGUGUGAACGGGCCUUAACAGGUGUGAAUUACCCAUGUUCUGUCAAAAUAUUUUAAAUGAUCCUCCCUGUCAUGGGGAGAUAAUUGCAGUAAAAUGGAUUAAUGAAUAAUAAAGUUUCCCUCAAUGAUCAAUAACAUAAUAAAAACAUGUGCAACAAAUAUUUACAAUCUAGCAGGUUGAUACCCAGUGUAUAUCCCAUUUGGAGAAGGAUAUCGUCUCCGUAUUGCUGUAACACAACAGCUUGGAAUCACUCUCCUGUUCCGAAUUCCUAACAUUCGUUGUUGCCAGAGUACGUAUUGUCUGGCGAGCAGCAUGGCAAAAUUUUCAUUGUUUCUAAUAUUAUUUAACACUAAAAAGUCUUCCCUCUAAUGCAUGGCCAGGUCCAGAUCGAACAUUUCCAUCAAGUACUAAGUGUGGGAAGAGAGGGCUAUUUUCCAAUUGUGUUGGCAUUGCAACACACCAUCCACAUUUGCAAUACUCUGAGGCAUUUUCUGGGUUUUCAUAGCUGGGUCUGGUUGAAGCGGUUCACCUGGCAAUUCACCAUUUACCAAAUUGACAAAUGCUGCUGGCUGAUGCUGUAUAAGCUCUAGAGCAAAUGCUCUUCAAAGGGCAUUUAAAUCCAAUGCUACCACAAGAGUCUGAAAUGAAUAUAUUUAUCAUUAAUUAAAUGCAAAAAUUCAAGCGCAGUGAAACACAGAUAUUUCUUACCACCAAAUUACUGCAUUUCACACCUAUGUAGACUUGUAUAUAGACAGGCAAACUUUUUUUUACAUAAUUUGAUGUUUUACCCGGCAAGGAUAUGC